GGGCGCAUGGUGUAGUUGGUUAUCACAUCCGCUUAGCACGAUUCUGAGCGUGUAAGUUUGCGGGGGGUGCUGGGUUCAAUUCCCAGUGCGUCCA